rnacentral:rRNA from 1 species
UACGUAGGUGGCAAGCGUUGUCCGGAAUUAUUGGGCGUAAAGCGCGCGCAGGCGGCCUUUUAAGUCUGAUGUGAAAGCCCACGGCUCAACCGUGGAAGGUCAUUGGAAACUGAAAGGCUUGAGUACAGAAGAGGAAAGCGGAAUUCCACGUGUAGCGGUGAAAUGCGUAGAGAUGUGGAGGAACACCAGUGGCGAAGGCGGCUUUCUGGUCUGUAACUGACGCUGAUGCACGAAGGCCAGGGGAGCAAACGGG